rnacentral:rRNA from 1 species
CACCGGCGGCUCGAGUGGUGGCCACUUUUAUUGGGUCUAAAGCGUCCGUAGCCGGCUUGGCAAGUCCCCUGGGAAAUCUGGCGGCUUAACCGUCAGGCGUCCAGAGGAUACUGCCAGGCUUGGGACCGGGAGAGGUGAUAGGUACCUCAGGGGUAGGGGUGAAAUCUUGUGAUCCCUGAGGGACCACCAGUGGCGAAGGCGUCUCACUAGAACGGGUCCGACGGUCAGGGACGAAAGCUGGGGGCACGAACCGG